AGCUACGGUGGCUUAGUGGUUAGAGCGUUCGCCUCGAAUGCGGGAGGUUGCGGGUUUAAAUCCCGGCCGAGUCA